rnacentral:rRNA from 1 species
GGGAACGUACCCUGAACUAUGGAACAACUCCGGGAAACUGGAAUUAAUACCGUAUGUGUCCUGAGGGACAAAAGUUUACCGGUUCAGGAUCGGCCCGCGUCCCAUUUCCUAUUUGGUGGGGUAAUGGCCUACCAACGCGACAAUCGGUAGCUGGUCUGACAGGAUGAUCAACCACAUUGGGACUGAGACACGGCCCCAACUCCUACGGGAGGCAGCAGUGGGGAAUAUUGGACAAUGGGCCCAAGCCUGAUCCAGCCAUGCCGCGUGAGUGAUGAGGGUCUUAGGAUUGGAAAGCUUUUUCACCGGGGACGAGAAUGACGGUACCCGGAAAAAAAGCCCCCGCUAACUUCUUGCCAGCAGCCGCGGUAAUACGAAGGGGGCUAGCGUUGUUCGGAAUUACUGGGCGUAAAGCGCACGUACGCGGACAUUUAAUUCUGGGGUGGAAUCCCGGGGCUCAACCCCCGAACUGCCUUUGAUACUGGGUGUCUUGAGUGUGGUAGAAAGUGAGUGGAAUUUGCGAGUGUAUAGGUGAAAAUUCUUAUA